rnacentral:lncRNA from 1 species
UUAUGGUUAUUUUUAAUUCAUUUUUAAAUAGUUUUUGAUAUUUUCAAAAAUACAAAAAUAUUUUCCCAACCUAUUUGAAUGAUGAUGGAUCUAUGAAAAAUAUUCUCAUCAAUUUUUGAAUUGAUUUUAGAUUUAUUUGAGAUUUUAGUUCAAUUAGGUCAUUUUUAUUCAUUUUUAAUUGAUUAAAAAUAGUUUCUGCCUUUUAAAAAUGCUGAAAUUUUUUGUCAAACUUUGUUUGCCCUUGUUGAACUUAGGAAAAAUCACUUGGACCUUUCAAGGUUGAUUUGA